rnacentral:rRNA from 1 species
UUGUACUUGCCCAAACACACCCAUCUUUAACUGGGUGACCUCAGAUCAGGUAGGGAUACCCGCUGAACUUAAGCAUAUCAAUAAGCGGAGGAA